rnacentral:rRNA from 1 species
CACGUAGGCGGGUCGCUAAGUCAGGGGUGAAAUCCUGGAGCUUAACUCCAGAACUGCCUUUGAUACUGGCGACCUUGAGUCCGGGAGAGGUGAGUGGAACUGCGAGUGUAGAGGUGAAAUUCGUAGAUAUUCGCAAGAACACCAGUGGCGAAGGCGGCUCACUGGCCCGGUACUGACGCUGAGGUGCGAAAGCGUGGGAGCAAACA